UACUUGCUAGUUUAAUAACAUCAAAUUGCAAAUUUGAACAAAUUUCUAUAAA
rnacentral:tRNA from 1 species